AGCGGAGGAAAAGAAACCAACAGGGAUUACCUCAGUAACGGCGAGUGAAGCGGUAACAGCUCAAAUUUGAAAUCUGGCUCUUGGGCCCGAGUUGUAAUUUGUAGAAGAUGCUUUGGGUGUGGCUCCGGUCUAAGUUCCUUGGAACAGGACGUCAUAGAGGGUGAGAAUCCCGUACGUGACUGGUCGCCUUCGCCCGUGUAAAGCUCUUUCGACGAGUCGAGUUGUUUGGGAAUGCAGCUCAAAAUGGGUGGUAUAUUUCAUCUAAAGCUAAAUAUUGGCCAGAGACCGAUAGCGCACAAGUAGAGUGAUCGAAAGAUGAAAAGCACUUUGGAAAGAGAGUUAAACAGUACGUGAAAUUGUUGAAAGGGAAGCGCUUGCAACCAGACUUGCAGGCUGUUGAUCAUCCGGGGUUCUCCCCGGUGCACUCGGCAGCUUUCAGGCCAGCAUCGGUUUGGGUGGUGGGAUAAAGGCCUUGGGAAUGUGGCUCUCUUCGGGGAGUGUUAUAGCCCAAGGUGCAAUGCCGCCUACCUGGACCGAGGACCGCGCUUCGGCUAGGAUGCUGGCGUAAUGGUUGUAAGCGACCCGUCUUG
rnacentral:rRNA from 1 species